ACAGGUAGGGGGCGUUGAAAGGCCGCAGAGAGCAGCCAGUUGCACAGCUCCCUGCCUGUGGGUGUGUGCGCCGCGCGCCGCGUUUGUGUGCGCUGCUGGCAGGAUGAAAGUGGUCGUGGCACAGCAGUGAUGUAGUAGCGGAGCUCGCAGAGACUCCGCAACCAACCGUCUGUCACUUUCGCUGGGGAUCAUCUCUCCGACUCUAGCGCGCAAUGGAAAAGACUGGAUGCGUUUUCUUGCGCAGUCACAUCGAGUGAAUGUGCCGCGCAAUGCGACCGAGAACAGCUGACUGUGGAGGAUAUAUUCUUGCCUCAAAGCGGGUUUGUUGGAGUAGCUAGUGCUAGCGCAGAGCUAACGACUGUGCUGGCUAUUUGGAACGAAAACGGCGAGGAUGCUUCGGUGGAUACGACAGCAGCUGGGCGUUGACCCCCCUCAUCAGAGUGACACCAGGACAGUUUACGUAGCAAACCGAUUUCCCCAGAAUGGCCACUACAUACCUCAGCGCUUUGCAGAUAACAGAAUCAUCUCAUCAAAGUACACUGUUUGGAAUUUUGUUCCCAAGAACCUGUUUGAGCAAUUCAGAAGGAUAGCCAACUUCUAUUUUCUAAUUAUUUUCCUUGUGCAGUUAAUGAUAGAUACUCCAACCUCACCAAUCACCAGUGGGCUCCCACUCUUCUUUGUGAUCACAGUGACAGCUAUAAAACAGGGCUACGAGGACUGGUUAAGACACAAGGCAGAUAAUGAAGUAAACGGAGCUCCAGUGUUUGUGGUUCGAAGUGGAAGUCUGGUCCAAACGAAAUCUAAAAACAUCAGGGUGGGAGACAUUGUUCGUGUGGCUAAAGAUGAGACUUUCCCAGUUGACCUGGUGCUGUUGUCAUCGGAUCGUGCAGAUGGGACUUGUCACAUUACCACAGCCAGCCUCGAUGGAGAGACCAACCUCAAGACUCAUUUCUCUGUGCCAGAGACAUCCGUGUGUCAGUCAGUGUCCCAACUGGAGGCUUUGCAGGCUGUGGUUGAGUGUCAGCAGCCAGACGCCGACCUCUACAGAUUUGUAGGCCGCAUUACUGUGAUUCAACAUGGGGAAGAAAUCGUCAGACCGUUGGGUCCAGAGAACUUGCUGCUGCGAGGAGCCAGGCUGAAAAAUACUAAAGAGAUUUUUGGUGUGGCAGUUUACACAGGAAUGGAAUCCAAGAUGGCCCUCAACUAUAAGUGCAAGUCCCAGAAACGCUCUGCAGUCGAGAAGUCAAUGAAUACUUUUCUCAUCAUCUACCUGGUCAUCCUGCUGUUUGAGGCAAUCCUCAGUACCAUCUUAAAGUAUGCUUGGCAGGCUGAGGAGAAAUGGAACGAGCCAUUCUACAACCAGAAAACUGAACAGGAGCGAAACAGCAGUCCGAUUCUGAAGUUUAUAUCUGACUUUCUGGCAUUUCUGGUCCUCUAUAACUUCAUCAUUCCCAUCUCGCUCUACGUCACCGUGGAGAUGCAGAAGUUCUUGGGGUCGUUUUUCAUUGGCUGGGAUUUAGAUUUGUACCACGAAGAAUCUGAUCAGAAAGCUCAAGUCAACACAUCCGACCUGAAUGAAGAGUUGGGACAGGUAGAGUACGUGUUUACUGACAAAACGGGCACACUAACGGAAAAUGAAAUGCACUUCCGUGAGUGUUCAAUAAAAGGAACCAAGUACCGUGAAGUUAAUGGCAAACUGUUACCAGAGGGAAUGACAGACGACUCACCAGAUGGCUCUGUGGCUCACCUGAUUGGUGAUGAAGUCCUAUUUCUGAAGGCAGUGUCGUUAUGCCACACCGUUCAGAUCAGCUACGACCAGCCAGACCUCCCGCUUGGAGCAUCAGAUCCAUUCUCUCACGUUAAUGGGUUUUCUUCCAAUCACAUGGAGUACUACGCUUCUUCACCGGAUGAGAAGGCUUUAGUUGAGGCAACAAAAAGGAUUGGAGUUGCCUUCACUGGCAGCAGUGGAGAUACCAUGGAAAUCAAAACGUUUGGCAAGUUUGAAAAGUAUAAACUACUUCAUCUGCUGGAGUUUGAUGCCAACCGCAGGAGGAUGAGUGUCAUAUUACAGACUCCUUCAGGAGGAACAGUUCUCUUCACCAAGGGUGCCGAGUCAGCCAUCUUGCCUUUUGCCACAAGUGGAGAAAUUGAAAAAACAAGACUCCAUGUUGAUGAGUUUGCCCUGAAAGGUUUGCGGACCCUGGUGGUUGCAUGUCGGCACUUCAGUCCUGAAGAGUACAUGGACGUGGACAAGCGGCUGACAGCUGCUCGCACCGCGCUGCAGCAGAGGGAGGAGAAACUCCAGGAGGCUUUUGACUUCAUUGAGAGAGACCUGCAGCUUCUGGGAGCCACAGCAGUGGAAGACAAGCUUCAAGACAAAGUCCAGGAGACAAUUGAAGCCUUGCGACUGGCAGGAAUCAAAGUUUGGGUGUUGACUGGGGACAAACAUGAAACGGCGGUCAGCGUCAGCCUAUCCUGCGGCCACUUCCACAGAACCAUGAAUAUCUUGGAGCUUCUGCAACAACGCUCUGACAAUGAGUGCGCCGAGCAGCUCCGCAGACUGGCCAGAAGAAUAAAAGAGGACCACGUCAUUCAGCACGGCUUGGUUGUAGAUGGGGCCAGUCUGUCUUUAGCACUGAGGGAACACGAGAAGCUGUUUAUGGAAGUGUGCAAGAACUGCUCUGCUGUGCUGUGCUGCCGCAUGGCCCCGCUGCAGAAAGCUAAGGUGGUGCGACUUUUGAAGACCUCUCCAGAAAAACCCAUCACUUUAGCGAUUGGGGAUGGAGCCAAUGAUGUCAGUAUGAUACAAGAAGCCCAUGUCGGCAUAGGUAUCAUGGGAAAGGAAGGUCGUCAGGCCGUGAGAAACAGUGACUAUGCAAUUGCCAGGUUUAAGUUCCUGGCUAAACUACUGCUGGUCCACGGUCACUUCUACUACAUUCGAAUUGCUACCCUUGUACAGUACUUUUUCUAUAAGAAUGUGUGUUUUAUCACACCGCAGUUUUUAUACCAGUUCUUCUGUUUGUUUUCACAACAAACUCUGUAUGACAGUGUUUACCUGACACUCUACAACAUCUGCUUCACCUCGCUGCCCAUCCUGGUGUACAGCCUGUUUGAACAGCUGGUCCAUCCACACGCACUGCAGAGUAAACCCUGCCUGUACAGAGAUAUCAGCAAGAACUCUCUGCUGUCGUUCCGGACGUUCUUGUACUGGACUGUGCUGGGCUUCUGUCAUGCCUUCAUCUUCUUUUUUGGAUCCUACAUACUCAUGGGAGAAGACACAACUCUUAUGGGCAACGGCCAGAUCUUGCGAGCUAACAGGCAGCUGAUGUUUGGGAACUGGACAUUUGGAACACUUGUUUUUACAGUGAUGGUGAUUACUGUCACAUUAAAGCUUGCAUUAGAAACUCAUUUUUGGACCUGGAUGAACCACUUUGUGACAUGGGGCUCUAUUGCAUUCUAUUUCAUCUUCUCUUUAUUCUAUGGAGGCAUUAUCUGGCCGUUCCUGCACACCCAGGAUAUGUACUUUGUUUUUGUGCAGCUUCUGUCCAGCGGUUCGGCCUGGUUUGCCAUCAUCAUCAUCGUCAUCACUUGCCUCUCUCCUGACGUGUUUAAAAAGGUCCUCUACAGACAUUUGCAGCCCACCAGCACCCAGAAUAGCCAGAUGUAUUCCAACCGAGUGGUGAUAGGGGAUGACUUCAUUGCUCUGCAGCCUUUGUCCAGAGCCAAGAGCCAGCUGGGCAAAAUUAGUCUCUAUCAGCCCCCCCAGCGCAGGCCCUCAGCUGUAUGGAGUCCCUGUGCUGCUACCAACAAGGGCAAAGUGGCUGUUCCCGCUUGGCCAGCCUCCUGGACCAAAUGACCGGACAUUGCAAAGCCGGCGCCAGCAAUUGCCACGCAUCCAGCCGCUGCAACAGGUCUUGGAGCGACACAGAGACUUUCUACUCCAACGAUCGCAGCAUCCUGACGCUGUCGCCCAUCGAGGGCACCCGCUGCUGAACCCCACCCUCUGGCCGCUGAAUUUAACACACAAGUGGGAACAAGCAAGCCUCCACUCACCUUUGAGUUGCUAUUCCACCCCCUCCAUCACCAUUUUUAUCAACCUGCUUUAGCCUGAGCUUAAUGCAUCUUUCAGCUGGAAGAACAGGUUGAGUGAUGCAAGCUGCUUCAUUAAACAAGCUCGUGAAGAGUGAAAAUGACACCUGAACUGUGCUGCACAUCAAAGGAAAUGAAGGGAGACAGCCUGGCUCCACACCUCUGGAUCCGCAGCUUCUCAGGAUAGAAAUUCAGUCGCUGAACCAGCUGGAAAAUUCUAAUUCCUGCUGUCUUCAAAGCUUCUGCAAAGCCUGGGGUCUCAUCUGUCCAAGAGGAUAGAAAUGUCUCUAAAAUACAUAGGAAUUUUCCUUUUUUUUUUUUUCUUCUUCUUUUUUUUGUGGAUCAGUUGCCAAACAUUUUUGCUGCAACUGGCAGAAAGCAUAAUGAACUCUCAACUUCAGGAGAAUUCAAAUCUAAGGGCCCGUGCUUUUUUUUUUCUUUUUCUUAUUGAUGCUCAAAGCACAAAGACUGCUAUGUAGCCCAACAUCCGGUCGCCCGUGUAGCACUCAGAUAAUCCAGUUGAGACAUCAAAUCUGACCUCCGUUGUUUCCUUCACGUUUGAACUUGUAGCGCCGGUGUCUCUACGCCCUCUGCUCCACUGCUGCAUCCUCCUUCCUUGGAUCUGAAGGUUCAAAAAAACGAACCCCUGUAGCAUCUCAGACUGCAGUUCUCCCAGAGCUGAAUCUGGAGCUUCACCUCCACUGUGGUACCAAAGACCAAAGGAUUCUUGUGCCUGAUUGUACAGACGCUUAUAUUGUUACGAAGACUUGUUAGUUUGUGCUGCUUUCUUGUUCAACCGCUGGAGUCUCCGUCUCCUCAGUCAGUUCCUCCGAAGGAGGCCGGAUAUUUAAAAAGCCAUACGUUCUGAAGAUGUUGAUGAAAUAGUAAGGGUACUGUAGAGCUGUUACUUUUUUUCCCUUUGAAUGCCUUCUCUCGAAAACAUCUCAGCGUUAAAGACCAUGAGAACCAGGAUUGUUUUAAGACAUCCGUGUAAAGACUCUCCUGGAGGGUUGGGUUAGGACGUUUGUGUUGGGGCCAAAUUGACUUUAAUGCUGAGAAGCGUUUUUGAGAUCCCGGCUGUUGCACGGUAACCCCAGACAGCUGAAUGUCUCCAUAUUCAUAAGAAUAAUAUAUAUAGACUGAUUUCACUUUUAGUAGAGCGGAACGGCAGUUUACGAAGCUCGCAUAUCAAAAGUUUCAUUUUCCGUCACCAUCGUAAUCAUUUCAGUCAUACUUUUCCAUUGACUUUGUUUUGUUUUUGUUGUGUUCCUGCUGUUGGUGUUUGUGUGUGUGCUGAAGUUUGUUCCUCUGUGGCUGGAGUGCGAGCUCCAAUCUGUCUCAGGUCACAGGUUUAAAACCCUCCUCCCUCCACACACUCGUCUGCUGGAAGGCUGCAGACGUUCCCCGGCAGCUCAGCUCGUUCAUCCCUCGUUUUCUGAAGGGUCCAUGUUGAUUUCUGUACUCGUGGGUGAAGGUCGCUCACUAAGGAGUGUGUAUUUAUUAUUCCAGUUUGUUCAUGUUGUUGUUCUCUCUCAUCUUAGUGUUUCUGUAAUUGUAAGUAGGUCAUCUGAUAUUUUAACGAGCGAGUGAAAGCUUCCAGGUAGAUCAGAACGGAAUAGAACCGCCACGCUGUCGCUUCUCCUUUUGUUUUCUUUCAACCAGUUGACCUCACAGGUGUGUGAAAAACACCUGACCUGUUUCUGCACAGAGAAGGGUCUCCCUCACAACCUUUUCUGUGACGACAUCGAGACUUCAUACGAUGGAGCAGAUAGCUUUUGAAGUCUUUCAGGAAGUGGGCGUGGCCUCCAAAUUUGUAAAGUUAUAAACUACAAAAUUCACAUCACAGAGGUGUUCUGUUCUGAAUUUAGUUCCUCAAACUCUCAAUAUUUAACGGUUGUGGCCUUGCACAUCUUAAAGGAUGCUCUAAAAGCACUUGUUUUCUUUUAUUUCACCCUUCUAGUCGGGACUUUUAAGAAUCUGCUGCACAUAUUUUUAUUUAAGUUUUGGGUGUAUAUUUAUUUAGGCAGAAUCCCCCUUUGUUGUUUGUUAUUUGCAUCCAUUUCCAACACUUCCUGUCUACUAAAACCUCAUUUUCAGCGUAAACGAUCCCCACAAGUGCUGUGAGGAACGGCAGAUCUCUCUGAUUAAACACGCAGCGUUUUCCCUCAUGGUGGUCGAAGCUUCUCUGUGAAUAGCCAACCAAUAACCUCUGGCUUCUGGGGCAUUUUAGGACGUGGUUGUUGUGGGUUUCUGCCUGAUGAUUCAUGCCGAUGAGGAUGAGUCCUUCCUGGCCAGAAGCGAAUAAGAGGAAGACGCGGGAGCGUGCGGAUCUGAUGCCCUCUUGUGUUCAGUGGGUCUCAGUAAUUAGCAGCUUCAUCAGAAAUACAGUUUAGAUUUAUAGAACCGCCGCUUCUAAAUAUGAGCGGAAGUGACGGAUGACUUAGAAAAGGGCUUGAGCAACAGAUUUGAUCUCCAAAGCGCCGGCAUCAUUCCAGCACCGCUCGCCAGGUUUGAAUGGAAGCCCUCUGGGGUAUUCCACAAGCAGGAGAUUACUCAAGUGUGUAAUUUGGAACGGUGGUUUCAACCUCUGAUUAUUGCCGUGUCAUUCAUCAGAGGCACCAUCCAAAUUUAAUUGGAUACCCUUUUGAAAGUAAUGUUUGAACGCGUCCACGUCUUCCCGGCUCGUUUUGAACCUCACGCUGCCUCAAAAGCAUCUACUUAUGUAUCGUGACCUCUGCAGGCUGAAGCCCCGCCCCCAUUACAUUUAACCGUAAUGUAUUACAUUUCUGACUGAUGUCCUGUCGGUGCAGAAAUGCAUUUAAAGGCCGGGCUGGGUCUGUAAUCCAAUGACGGUUUUCGUUGAUCCAAUCAGUUCAAAAGUGGGACUCUUAAUUAAAAUGUCAGCCCAUCAGUUUUGUGCAGCAGAACCUCCCGCCGCUCCGCGGCCCUUUUAUUUCCGCAGCAGCAGCCGCGGGUCACACCAGCCGUUUGUUGAAGCAAUCUCCCUCCGUCGUCAAUAAAUCCUGCUGCACCAGACGGUAAUCAUCACUCCUCUGAUGCCUGCUUUCUCAUGCUGUGUCUGUUCUGCUCCUCCUGUCUGUAAAUCUGUCUUAUAGCGAAAGAUUUAUUUACUAAAUAAAAACAUUUUUACACACGC